CCUACGGGUGGCAGCAGUGAGGAAUAUUGGUCAAUGGACGAGAGUCUGAACCAGCCAAGUAGCGUGAAGGAUGACUGCCCUAUGGGUUGUAAACUUCUUUUAUAUGGGAAUAAAAUGUUCCACGUGUGGGCUUUUGUAUGUACCAUAUGAAUAAGGAUCGGCUAACUCCGUGCCAGCAGCCGCGGUAAUACGGAGGAUCCGAGCGUUAUCCGGAUUUAUUGGGGUUAAAGGGAGCCGUGGUUGAUUUUUAAGUCAGUUGUGAAAGUUUGCGGCUCAACCGUAAAAUUGCAGUUGAAACUGGCAGUCUUGAGUACAGUAGAGGUGGGCGGAAUUCGUGGUGUAGCGGUGAAAUGCUUAGAUAUCACGAAGAACUCCGAUUGCGAAGGCAGCUCACUGGACUGCAACUGACACUGAGGCUCGAAAGUGUGGGUAUCAAACAGGAUUAGAUACCCUGGUAGUC
rnacentral:rRNA from 1 species